rnacentral:piRNA from 1 species
UCCCAAGGCUCUGCUGAAAACAGUGUGGA